GAUGAACGCUGGCGGCGUGCCUAAUACAUGCAAGUCGAGCGAACAGACGAGGAGCUUGCUCCUCUGACGUUAGCGGCGGACGGGUGAGUAACACGUGGAUAACCUACCUAUAAGACUGGGAUAACUUCGGGAAACCGGAGCUAAUACCGGAUAACAUGUUGAACCGCAUGGUUCAACAGUGAAAGACGGUCUUGCUGUCACUUAUAGAUGGAACCGCGCCGCAUUAGCUAGUUGGUAAGGUAACGGCUUACCAAGGCAACGAUGCGUAGCCGACCUGAGAGGGUGAUCGGCCACACUGGAACUGAGACACGGUCCAGACUCCUACGGGAGGCAGCAGUAGGGAAUCUUCCGCAAUGGGCGAAAGCCUGACGGAGCAACGCCGCGUGAGUGAAGAAGGUCUUCGGAUCGUAAAACUCUGUUAUUAGGGAAGAACAAAUGUGUAAGUAACUAUGCACGUCUUGACGGCACCUAAUCAGAAAGCCACGGCUAACUACGUG
rnacentral:rRNA from 1 species